rnacentral:misc_RNA from 1 species
UAAAAUUUUAUUUAAAUUAAAUUAACUUCUCAAAAAAUACAUUAUUUUUUUUUUUCAAAAUCAUGUCAUAGAAUUAAUAAUUCAGUUUCAUGCCUUCAAUUAUAUCUUACAGUCAUACAAUUUUUCAUCAUCGGGUUUUCUACGGCCUCAAUGCACAUACUCAUUACAAAAUAAGGGUCUACACACACUUACCAAUGAAGUCUUCGCCAUCUUCUUCAACAAGUAGUGACUACUUCGGCACAACAGCACUGGGUUGUGAAGUUAUUAGGUCAUGACUUCCAGAUUAUUUAUAAGAUGGCUGUAACAAGGCUGCAGAUGCUCUAUCUUGUCGAGAGGAAGAAUUAGAAGUUAUUUCUAGACCUAGUUGAUUAGAAUUGGAUGACAUUGAUAUUGCCGUUCAACAGGAUUCUUUUUUGUAGAGGAUAAUUACUGAUUUGAAGAGGGAUCCUUCUUCCCAUGGAUACUUCUCUCUAAUACAAAAUAGGUUAGGCUACAUUGGAAUGUUGGUAAUUCCAGAACAUUCGCUUUUGGUUACCAGGUUACUUUAUGAAUUCCACUUUGCCCCUUAAGUUGGAAAUUCUAGAGCUUCUCCGACUUUCAGACAUCUAGCACCCAAUGUGUGAUGGAGAGGGAUGAUGAAGUCAAUCCAGAAGUUUGUACUUUGUAGCUGUGUCUAAUUUGCCAGAAUUACAAAUAUGAGACUCACCCGUUGGUUUAUUGUAGUCCUUAGGUAUGCCAGAGGUAAUAUGGAAAGACAUCUUGGUGGAUUUUAUUACAGGUCUUCCUCAGUCUCAAGGAAUAGAUUGUGUGUUGGUUGUGGUAGAUAGACUAACAAAAUACAUAUGUUUCUUAAGUUUGAAGCACCCCUUUACUGCUAUGUUUGUAGUUGACCUGUUUGUCAGGGAAGUGGUGAGGCUACAUGGAAUGCCAAGGCCCAUUGUGAGUGAUAUGGACCCUCUGUUCCUUAGCAUUGCUGGAGUGAAUUAUUCCGUUUGCAGGCACUAAGCUGAAGAUGAAAACAACUUAUCAUUCAGAAACGGAUGGACAGAUUGAUUUCUAAAUAGAUGAUUGGAAACUUAUUUGAGGUGUUUUGCAUUAGAGCAACCAAAGUAGUGGCACAAAUGGUUACCUCAGCCAAGUACUGGUAUAACUUGGGUUACCAUACUGCUUUAGGAAUGACACCCUUUGUGAAGCUGUUUCUGGAGACCUCCUCCCAUCAUCCAAUAGUAUUUGCUAGGGGAAACAAGGGUUGAGGUUGUAGCCCAGGAGCUAGCUGACGGAUUAGAUAUUGGGGCAGACAGGCAGCUGCAAUUUAACCUAGAAGGGCUCAACAAUGAAUGUCUACGGCUGCUAAUAAGCAUAGUCAUGAUGUUCAAAUCAAUAUUGGGGACUCUGUAUUUCUCAAACCCAAACCACAUAGACAACACUCUAUUCGAAGUAGAGUCAACCCAGAAUUGGCAGCUCACUUCUAUGGCGCUUGUAAAGUGAUCCAAAGGCUAGGGUAGGGUCUGUGGCCUACCAUCUACUACUCCCUGAAGGAGUUCGUAUUCAUCUUAUGUUUCAUGUUUCACAAUUAAAAAAGGUGAUGGUUGAACAUGAGGAGGUUGAUGAAUUGCCCAAAUAGCUGUUGGUGGAUGAAGACAUGGUGGGACCAGAAGUCGUUCUGCAGAAACAAAAAUUGAAGGUUGAAGGAACAGAAAUAGAACAAAUUCUGAUUAAGUGGAAGGGCUAGCCCAAAGAGGAAGCUACAUGGCUGGACAUUGUAGACCUCAAAAACCAAUUUCCUUACCUCAGUUCAGCCUUGAGGACAAGGUACUUUCUUUGGGGAUGGCUGUGUUAUUGAUCAAGGAAAACGACCAGAAGGAAAUGUGAGAGGCUCGAGACAGCUCAAAGUAUAUUAUAGAAGGAAGAAAAGAGAAAUGAGGGAAUCGAGCAAUACAUUAAUGGAAAGGGCAGCGAAGGAAGAUUCAGGAAGCAUGCAAAGAGGAGAAAGGAAGAUGUCAUAACCUGGAGAUUCUAACUGAAAAAGGAGGGUUUUAGGAGCCUAUAAAUAGAGCAGAUGAUUGAGGGAAGGGGCAUGCAUUUGUUUCCUUCAAUUUCCAGCAUUUGUACUUGGGGAAAGAACAUUGGUCUUGCUCGGGAACAAGCUUCUGGAUUAAGAAUUCUAGUUAAUUUCUUUAUAUUUCUUGAUCAGUAGAUGUUCAUUGAGAGGGAGCUGAGGGCAUUUUGCUUUUGUUAUCACAGUUAUAUUAGAAAUCAAUAUAAGUUCCAUUUAUAUUUCCCUCUAUUAUUCUUCAUUCCUUACUCUAUUAUUCUUCAUGCAUUUAUAUUUCCCUCAAUUAUUCCUCAAUUAUUUUGCUUCAUACUCUCAAAUUGCAUGUACGUGUAGAAAGAAUUGCUGAUGUGUAGUACUGAUCGAAAAAUGUCUUGACACUCGUGAGUGCAUCUUUUUAUAACAGAAGUUGUGAAGCUAGGACAAAUUUUCAGGAAAACACUCCACUUAUCCUUGUAAUUACUUAUUUGGUUCUCAUGAAUGUUUCAAUUGCUUGAAUGCGUAGGUAUGUAUUCAAUAAUAUGAGUGUUCAUCAUUCACAAAAAAUUUACUGUACUAAUGAAAUAUAAUAACACUAGUCUAAUCGAAACUUGGAAGAUGCAUUCUACAUUUUACAUGUGUAACUACUUAAUUUUAUAAUGAAAUGGGGCAAAUCUUCACAAUGUGUCAUCAUUCAUGUAUCAAAUUUAUCUUGAAAAAAUAUCUGUGGUAGGCUAUGAUGAGAAUCAAUAUUUCCGAUAGUGGGCAUACUGAUACUGAGAUGACAAUGUUUGACAGGUAGCAUCCAUGUUCUUC